GUAACGUGACACAAGUAUUCUCACCACCCACACCUCCAACUUCCACACCUGCCAUGGAAGCCACUUACCCGAGUGCAGAGGGGGCACCUCAACCCACCACCCCAACAGAGGGAGAACAGGUAUCACCUGACUUGAUGGAAUACAUUUUAAAAAGCCCAUGAUGCUGUACGGAAGACUCCAGUCAACAAAAUAGAAAACCCAGAGAAGGGAAACAACCUGCAAGACCCUGAAUAUAAAACAAGGAAGUUGGAGGAGAAAAAAAUUGUUCUGCGAAACAGAAACAAUGAAGACAACAAACUGAAAGGGACACAAGAAAAGAUAAGACAGCUGAGAAAAAGGAAAUAUGGAGCUGGGGACAAGGGGAAAGAACAAAUAUAAGAACUUAUACAAAAAUUCUUAAUACAAGGAGUAUGUAAAGAUGUAAAAAUAUGUAAUAACCAAGAAUUUAAUUAAAAAUGGGAAAUCUG